AUUGAACGCCGGCGGCAUGCCUUACACAUGCAAGUCGAACGGCAGCACGGGUGCUUGCACCUGGUGGCGAGUGGCGAACGGGUGAGUAAUACAUCGGAACGUACCUUAUCGUGGGGGAUAACGCAGCGAAAGCUGUGCUAAUACCGCAUACGCCCUGAGGGGGAAAGCGGGGGAUCGAAAGACCUCGCGCGAUUAGAGCGGCCGAUGCCUGAUUAGCUUGUUGGUGGGGUAAAAGCCCACCAAGGCGACGAUCAGUAGCUGGUCUGAGAGGACGAUCAGCCACACUAGGGCUGAGACACGGCCCCGACUCCUACGGGAGGCAGCAGUGGGGAAUUUUGGACGAUGGGGGCAACCCUGAUCCAGCAAUGCCGCGUGAGUGAAGAAGGCCUUCGGGUUGUAAAGCUCUUUUGUCAGGGAAGAAACACCGGCUUUAACACAGUCCGGGAAUGACGGUACCUGAAGAAUAAGCACCGGCUAACUACGUGCCAGCAGCCGCCGUAA
rnacentral:rRNA from 1 species